CCAGCGCCACCACCAGCGCCAGCACGUCCGACAGCAUGUGGAAGGAGUCGGAGAGCAUCGCCAGGGACGUGGUCACCCGGCUCACCACCACCUCCAGGACCAUGAACAUGAAGCUUGUCGUGGACAUCAGCCUUAAGAGUCAAGUUCUCACCGGUGCCUUCCUAUGAGAGAAGAAGCCUGGGCAACUGAAAAAUAAGUUGUUUUUUUUGAUAGCCACCUCUCACCAUGCCAAAGAGCCAUGCAAUCUGUGCAGAAGCAGCAUGCUUGCUGUGUGAACAUGAUUUCAAGACCAGCUUCCAGCCUUCCUUCCAGCAGACUGCCAGGCCUUAAGUCUCUUCCUUCAGAGGAAACUAUGACUAGAAAAGUAUACGAGGAUGUCCUUCUAGUAACUGAAGUUUAUUGAGUUAUCUAAUGGUUAACCAGAAAACUUAUUUGUUUUAGGCUUUGUAGUAGAAAACCAUGCUUAUGUGUUUAUUCAGCUCUUGCUUUAGUAGCUAGAACAGCCCUAACACAUGUUUGUGAAACGGAGCCAAGUCUUAUAGCCCGACCCUAUUGCUGGUGCAGAGGAGGCAUUCAACAAAUGUUUGAUAAUAUAAUUAACUAAUAAGGUAGGGAGUGAAACAAAGACAGUGUUUAAUUAGUUCACUAGUUUUCUCUAGUCUUGUCUUCAACUAUGUAACUGACAUGAGGCAUAAAUUACUUGAAUAUAAUAAAAAUAUAUAAUUUUUUAUAAGUCCCAUUGCUUGGACUCUAUAAGCUUUCAAGACAUUCCUUAUUACUUAGGUUCAUUUAAUGUCAUCAUUCUUUUGGAAGAGAUAUUGUUUUAUAGAAAUAUUUACAAUCAAGAAACCUCCAAAGAUGUCUCAGGGGCUUAAAAAAGACAAUAGAUGUGAGUCAGAAAAAGAAGUGAUCAUCAAUAUUCCUCAAGCUUCUGCUGUGUGCCAAUCUUGGAGGGUUCAUUGGUGAGCAGAACAAACAUGGGCCCUGCCCUACAGAGGUACAACUGAACACAAUAUAAACAUAAUUACAAUUUGAAAUCAGAUUCUAGUAGUCACCUAAUUGGGAUUAAGGGAUGCUAAUUUAGUUCAGGAGGAUUGGAGAGAUCUCUUUCAAGAAUAACAUUUAAGUGAGACUUGCUACAAGAAUAGGAAUUAGUUAAGGCAAUAAAUAUUGUCAAGUAUUCCCCACAGGGCUUCUCUGAUAGCUCAGUUGGUAAAGAAUCCGCCUCCAAUGCAGGAAACCUGGGUUUGAUCCCUCGGUUGGGAAGAUCCCUUGGAGAAGGGAAAGGCUACCCACUUCAGUAUUCUGGCCUGGAGAAUUCCAUGGACUGUAUAAUCCAUGGGGUUACAAAGAGUCGGACAUGACUGAGCGACUUUCACUCACUCAUUCCCCAUAAAGGGAUCAGUCUAUGAAAGAUCAUGAGGGAGGAAGAAAUUUGGUACAUCCUGGGAAUUUUACAAAGCACAGAGAUCAAGAGCAAGGUAAGGCAGGGCCGGCUCAUGCAGGCCUUGCGGGCCACUUGUAGGGGACUGUUCAUUGCCUUUGAUGCUUCCAAUCCCCUCUCUCCGUCCCCAACACAACCCUGAGCGUGUUCCCUGGAGCUGCAGGUGGGGCUGCCAGCCUCUACUGCCAGGAGCUACACGCAAUGCUGAUCCCAACUCCCAGCUCAAAGAGUGGCUCCUGAUUGGUCCAAGCCAAUCAGUAACCAGCAUUGCUCUAGUGAGUCUUUUUGGGUUAGAAGUGUUCACAUGAUCUAAAAUGGCCCAAUCAGAUUGCAGAGAGAAGUUUAGAUUCCUUGACUGGGAAAACCUCCACUCUUCUGUCCUUCCAAAUACUAAGCCAAGGGAGGAGUCUACCCUUACUUAGAUGCAUCCAGUGCCAAGUGCAGCAGAGAAGUGGGCAGAACCUGGAAUCUAAGGAGCAUUAUUGAGCUGCCCAAAUUCAGCCUGAACUCAUCCAUGUUUCCUUGUUGGUUAAAAUCCUUGAAUUUACCAAUUAUUUCAUUUUUUUUUUCCCAAACACUGUGACUUUUCUGUAUUUGAGGAUCUUAUUUUGUAAAACUAUGCUAAUG